AGUAUUUGCGUGCGUUCAGUAGACCGGAGCCGACGAGCCAAAGAAAGGAGCGGGAGACUUAACGACAAGAGUACACUAAGUUGUGAAUGAAAUACAUGAUGUCCACACGAGACGGACCACUGUUCUCCAUGCCCUUCCUGUUUAUCUACGUGAGGUAGUUUCUGAAUUCUUCAGAUCAUGUGUGGACGGUAUGGAUGAACCAGACCUGGGGGAUGCAUCAGUGGCCCUACUUACAGCUGUCAGUGACGAUGCCGCAAGUCCAGUUCACUACCACCCAGUGAGAGUUUCUGUCGUCCUAGAGGGGGAUGUGGUUGUUGACCUUCCCAGGCUUGCUGAUGCCUUCCUGGUAAUAUUUGGACUGAUUUAUGCUCUACACCUCAGCUAUCCCAAGGGACUCACCAACAC